AGUAAUUUUAUUCUGGUUAAAAAUAGAAAGAAUGAACGGUUUUCUCAUAAAAUUUUUAUAGUGGAUAAUAAAGACAAUGUUAUUUAUUGAUUUAGAGAUUAACACUUAUACAAUUAAUUAAGUUAAAUAUGGCUGUUUUUUUUGAAAGAAAAAUCUCAAUGGCCAGAUCCCCGGUUAAACUGAAUAUCAUUAUCUUUUUUGGGAAAUAAAAAAAUUAUGGGCCAAUUUAAUAAAGAAAUAAAAUUUAAUUUAAUGGUCUUAAAAUAAACCACAAAAAGAAUUAUUGUAUAAUUAGGAACAAGGAUUAGAGACCCUUUUACCUAUAUAAAAAUUUUUUAUAUUCGCAGUAAUAACUGAAAGGAAUUGGCAGUUAGUUAAAUUCGUUUUGGGGAGUGUGUAACUUAAAAGAUGAUCCACUUAAGAACUCACCAUUAUUAGUUAAGUUAGUGUAUAUCCGGUUUGUACCUUAAAUUAUUAUUUAUUGUUUACAUAAAAAUUUUAAUACAGGUCAAUGUGCUGCUAAUAUAAUGGUUGUUAUUCUCUACAUUAAAAAAAUUUUGAAUGUAUUAUUCAAUGUAUUUGGGACUAAACAGUAAUUUAUUUAAAGUUAGAAUAUUUGAAAUGUGAAAUUAUUUUCUAAUGGAGAUUUAAUUAGUGUACACAUCGCCCGUCACCUUCGAUGAGAGUUGAAGUAAGUCGUAACAUGGUAGCACCAGGGGAACCUGGUGCUAAUAAAUAUCA
rnacentral:rRNA from 1 species